UUGGUUAAGUUAGAAAGGGCGCACGGUGGAUGCCUUGGCACUAGGAGCCGAAGAAGGACGGGACUAACACCGAUAUGCUUUGGGGAGCUGUACGUAAGCGUUGAUCCAGAGAUUUCCGAAUGGGGGAACCCACUAUCUUUAGUCGGAUAGUAUCCUUACGUGAAUACAUAGCGUGAGGAAGGCAGACCCAGGGAACUGAAACAUCUAAGUACCUGGAGGAAGAGAAAGAAAAAUCGAUUUCCUGAGUAGCGGCGAGCGAAACGGAAAGAGCCCAAACCAAGAAGCUUGCUUCUUGGGGUUGUAGGACACUCUAUACGGAGUUACAAAAGAAAGUUAUAAAUGAAGCGGUCUGGAAAGGCCCGCCAAAGACGGUAACAGCCCGGUAGUUGAAAUGGCUUUCCCUCCAGAGUGGAUCCUGAGUACGGCGGAACACGUGAAAUUCCGUCGGAAUCCGGGAGGACCAUCUCCCAAGGCUAAAUACUCCCUAGUGACCGAUAGUGAACCAGUACCGUGAGGGAAAGGUGAAAAGCACCCCGGAAGGGGAGUGAAACAGUUCCUGAAACCGUGUGCCUACAAGUAGUUAGAGCCCGUUAAUGGGUGAUAGCGUGCCUUUUGUAGAAUGAACCGGCGAGUUACGAUUUGUUGCAAGGUUAAGCGGAAAAAGCGGAGCCGUAGCGAAAGCGAGUCUGAAUAGGGCGCAUAAGUAACAGGUCGUAGACCCGAAACCAGGUGAUCUACCCAUGUCCAGGAUGAAGGUAAGGUAAUACUUACUGGAGGUCCGAACCCACGCACGUUGAAAAGUGCGGGGAUGAGGUGUGGGUAGCGGAGAAAUUCCAAUCGAACUUGGAGAUAGCUGGUUCUCUCCGAAAUAGCUUUAGGGCUAGCCUCGAGGUAAAGAGUCAUGGAGGUAGAGCACUGUUUGGACUAGGGGCCCUUCUCGGGUUACCGAAUUCAGAUAAACUCCGAAUGCCAUGUACUUAUACUCGGGAGUCAGACUGCGAGUGAUAAGAUCCGUAGUCGAAAGGGAAACAGCCCAGACCACCAGUUAAGGUCCCCAAAUAUAUGUUAAGUGGAAAAGGAUGUGGGGUUGCUUAGACAACCAGGAUGUUGGCUUAGAAGCAGCCACCAUUGAAAGAGUGCGUAAUAGCUCACUGGUCGAGUGACCCCGCGCCGAAAAUGUACCGGGGCUAAACAUAUUACCGAAACUGUGGAUGAACCUCUUUAGAGGUUCGUGGUAGGAGAGCGUUCUAAGGGCGGUGAAGUCAGACCGGAAGGACUGGUGGAGCGCUUAGAAGUGAGAAUGCCGGUAUGAGUAGCGAAAGAAGGGUGAGAAUCCCUUCCACCGAAUAUCUAAGGUUUCCUGAGGAAGGCUCGUCCGCUCAGGGUUAGUCGGGACCUAAGCCGAGGCCGAUAGGCGUAGGCGAUGGACAACAGGUAGAGAUUCCUGUACCAGUGCUAAUUGUUUAACCGAUGGGGUGACACAGAAGGAUAGGGAAUCGCACGAAUGGAAAUGUGCGUCCAAGCAGUGAGUGUGAGAAGUAGGCAAAUCCGCUUCUCGCGAAGCAUGAGCUGUGAUGGGGAAGGAAAUUAAGUACGGAAGUUCCUGAUUUCACGCUGUCAAGAAAAGCCUCUAGGAAGAGUAGUACUGCCCGUACCGCAAACCGACACAGGUAGAUGAGGAGAGAAUCCUAAGGUGAGCGAGAGAACUCUCGUUAAGGAACUCGGCAAAAUGACCCCGUAACUUCGGGAGAAGGGGUGCUCUAUUAGGGUGCAAGCCCGAGAGAGCCGCAGUGAAUAGGCCCAGGCGACUGUUUAGCAAAAACACAGGUCUCUGCAAAACCGUAAGGUGACGUAUAGGGGCUGACGCCUGCCCGGUGCUGGAAGGUUAAGAGGAGUGCUUAGCUUCGGCGAAGGUACGAAUUGAAGCCCCAGUAAACGGCGGCCGUAACUAUAACGGUCCUAAGGUAGCGAAAUUCCUUGUCGGGUAAGUUCCGACCCGCACGAAAGGCGCAACGAUCUGGGCACUGUCUCAACGAGAGACUCGGUGAAAUUAUAGUACCUGUGAAGAUGCAGGUUACCCGCGACAGGACGGAAAGACCCCGUGGAGCUUUACUGCAACCUGAUAUGGAAUGUUUGUACCGCUUGUACAGGAUAGGUAGGAGCCGAAGAGACGUGUGCGCUAGCAUACGAGGAGGCAAUGGUGGGAUACUACCCUGGCUGUAUGACCAUUCUAACCCGCCACGCUUAGCGCGUGGGGAGACAGUGUCAGGUGGGCAGUUUGACUGGGGCGGUCGCCUCCUAAAGAGUAACGGAGGCGCCCAAAGGUUCCCUCAGAAUGGAUGGAAAUCAUUCGCAGAGUGUAAAGGCACAAGGGAGCUUGACUGCGAGACUGACAAGUCGAGCAGGGACGAAAGUCGGGCUUAGUGAUCCGGUGGUUCCGCAUGGAAGGGCCAUCGCUCAACGGAUAAAAGCUACCCCGGGGAUAACAGGCUUAUCUC
rnacentral:rRNA from 1 species